rnacentral:rRNA from 1 species
UACGUAGGGUCCGAGCGUUGUCCGGAAUUAUUGGGCGUAAAGGGCUCGUAGGCGGUCUGUCGCGUCGGGAGUGAAAACUUACAGCUUAACUGUGAGCGUGCUUCCGAUACGGGCAGACUUGAGGUAUUCAGGGGAGAACGGAAUUCCUGGUGUAGCGGUGAAAUGCGCAGAUAUCAGGAGGAACACCGGUGGCGAAGGCGGUUCUCUGGGAAUAUCCUGACGCUGAGGAGCGAAAGUGUGGGGAGCGAAUAGG